rnacentral:rRNA from 1 species
CCUACGGGAGGCUGCAGUGAGGAAUAUUGGUCAAUGGACGAGAGUCUGAACCAGCCAAGUAGCGUGAAGGAUGACUGCCCUAUGGGUUGUAAACUUCUUUUAUAUGGGAAUAAAAUGUUCCACGUGUGGGAUUUUGUAUGUACCAUAUGAAUAAGGAUCGGCUAACUCCGUGCCAGCAGCCGCGGUAAUACGGAGGAUCCGAGCGUUAUCCGGAUUUAUUGGGUUUAAAGGGAGCGUAGGUGGAUUGUUAAGUCAGUUGUGAAAGUUUGCGGCGCAACCGUAAAAUUGCAGUUGAAACUGGCAGUCUUGAGUACAGUAGAGGUGGGCGGAAUUCGUGGUGUAGCGGUGAAAUGCUUAGAUAUCACGAAGAACUCCGAUUGCGAAGGCAGUUCACUGGACUGCAACUGACACUGAGGCUCGAAAGUGUGGGUAUCAAACAGGAUUAGAUACCCGAGUAGUC